GUCGAACGGUCCUUCCUGCAAGGGAAGGAUAGUGGCGAACGGGUGAGUAACGCGUAAGUAACCUGCCCCCAAGUAGGGAAUAACUCUGAGAAAUUAGAGCUAAUACCAUAUGUGGUUCUUCACUACAAGGUGAAGGACUAAAGCUUUAGGGCGCUUAGGGAGGGGCUUGCGUCCGAUUAGCUAGUUGGUAGGGUAAUGGUCUACCAAGGCGAUGAUCGGUAGCUGGUUUGAGAGGACAUUCAGCCACACUGGGAUUGAGAUACGGCCCAGACUCCUACGGGAGGCAGCAGCAAGGAAUUUUGUGCAAUGGGCGAAAGCCUGACACAGCGACGCCGUGUGGGGGAUGAAGGCCUUCGGGUUGUAAACCCCUUUUCUCAGGGAAGAAUAAUGACGGUACCUGAGGAAUAAGUCGUGGCUAACUACGUGCCAGCAGCCGCGGUAAUACGUAGGCGGCAAGCGUUAUCCGGAUUUAUUGGGCGUAAAGAGGGCGUAGGCGGUUUUUCAAGUCGAUUGUGAAAUCUCCCGGCUUAACUGGGAGGAGCCAGUCGAUACUGUUAGACUAGAGAGCAGCAGGGGGAGGUGGAAUUCCCGGUGUAGUGGUGAAAUGUGUAGAUAUCGGGAGGAACACCAGUGGCGAAGGCGGCCUCCUAGGCUGUUUCUGACGCUGAGGUCCGAAAGCGUGGGGAGCAAACAGGAUCAGAUACCCUGGUAGUCCACGCUGUAAACGAUGGACACUAGGUAUAGGGAGUAUCGACCCUCUCUGUGCCGAAGCUAACGCAUUAAGUGUCCCGCCUGGGGAGUACGGCCGCAAGGCUAAAACUCAAAGGAAUUGACGGGGGCUCGCACAAGCAGCGGAGCGUGUGGUUUAAUUCGAUGCAACGCGAAGAACCUUACCAAGGCUUGACAUGGCGGAAGUAGUGAC
rnacentral:rRNA from 1 species